rnacentral:rRNA from 1 species
AUUGAACGCUGGCGGUAUGCUUAACACAUGCAAGUCGAACGGUAACAGGCCUUCGGGCGCUGACGAGUGGCGGACGGGUGAGUAACGCGUAGGAAUCUGCCUCAUAGUGGGGGACAACGUGUGGAAACGCACGCUAAUACCGCAUACGCCCUACGGGGGAAAGCGGGGGACCUUCGGGCCUCGCGCUAUGAGAUGAGCCUGCGUUAGAUUAGCUAGUUGGUAGGGUAAAGGCCUACCAAGGCGACGAUCUAUAGCUGGUCUGAGAGGACGAUAAGCCACACUGGGACUGGAACACGGCCCAGACUCCUACGGGAAGCAGCAGUGGGGAAUAUUGGACAAUGGGCGCAAGCCUGAUCCAGCAAGACCGCGUGUGUGAAGAAGGCCCUAGGGUUGUAAAGCACUUUCAAUAGGGAGGAAAACCUGUCGGUCAAUACCCGGCAGCUUGACAUUACCUAUACAAGAAGCACCGGCUAACUCCGUGCCAGCCGCCGCCGUAAUAC